GGGGGUGAACGGUCCGUGGUGGGCCGCCUGACAUUGGUCGGUGGUGCGGGCAACCGCACAGGGUUCGAGUCCCUCACCCUCU
rnacentral:tRNA from 1 species